rnacentral:piRNA from 1 species
UCGGAAACCUACAGAAGGAACAUGGACUG